UACGUAGGUGGCGAGCGUUGUCCGGAUUUAUUGGGUUUAAAGGGUGCGUAGGCGGCCCUGUAAGUCAGUGGUGAAAUACUCCAGCUUAACUGGAGGGGUGCCAUUGAUACUGCAGGGCUUGAGUGGAGUCGAGGUAGGCGGAAUUGACGGUGUAGCGGUGAAAUGCUUAGAUAUCGUCAAGAACACCGAUAGUGUAGACAGCUUACUAGGCUUCAACUGACGCUGAGGCACGAAAGUGUGGGGAUCAAACAGG
rnacentral:rRNA from 1 species